UCUAUGUUUUUGUUCUUCUUGCCACCAGGAAGAUGGGAGCUAGGGGCCGAGUUCCCGUUUUGCCCUUGUAUUUUGACCUCCUGCAUAGAUUGCUGAGUAUACUGCUGAUCUGAAAAGCAGGAAGGGACAGACCCAGUCCUCCGUCUCCUGGUCCAGCUCCCUGUCUCUGAACUGACAUGCACUUACAGCCUUCUCAAAUUGUUGAAUGCCUGUUUUUACUCUUGAAGAUGGGCAUUUGUAUAGAGCCCUAGAGUUUGUCAAGUGUCUUACAUCAUCUCAUCUGAGCCUCAUGAACAACUCAGUGAGGCCAAGGGAAGAAGAAGAAGAAAGUAAAAGGUCAAAGUGGGAGACAGAACAUUGACAUUCUUUCAUAAAAGGUGUCCGGCCUUCACGCCUCUGACUGAAGGAAAGAAAGAAGGAAGCAGGCUCUCUCCCUACAAGGAGGACCUCGUUCUGCAAUGUUGGGGUGGGACAUUUCUCCCCAUCACAAAAGCUCCUGUCUUAUGUCCUUGUCAAUGGCCUAUGACAGAGUCUCUCUCCAUCAGUGUGGUCAGGGGUAUGAGCAUGCCCAGAGAUCGGGGCUGGGGGAGAAGGUUUAGAAAAAGAAGAGAUAGGGG